rnacentral:lncRNA from 1 species
GCCAUGCUUCUGAGGGAAAGAGAGCCACUAGCCAUAUGAGAUCUCGGAUGGAGUGGCCAUUGGCCGCUUCCUCAACUGGGCCUGGGGUAGCAGGCGGGAGAUUAGAAAUGCAACUAAGCUGAGGGCAGAUUUACGAUGCUGAGCAACUGGGCAACUAAGCUGAGAGAAGAUUUAGAGGUGUUGAGCUGAGAGUGGAAGGUAAGGACAUGUUAGCCAAGGGGUGCCCGGCCAUUGAGUUAAAAAGCAUAUUAAAAAUAAGCUUGUGUGUGUUUCAUCUGUGGAACUAAGGGAACCUGGGCGGUGGCUGGUAGCAUGGUCUGCCCAGAGCUUAAGGCAAGGAAGUAGAAACUAAACUACAAACCCUUCAAAGUCAAGGUGAACUUGUAGAAUCAAUACACUUAAAAUUCAAAAUUAAGCAACUAACAGCAGAAAUCUAAAGACAGAAUGUCAUUGGGAUGUACAGUGAGAUACAUUACCCACAAAAAGGAACACACUAUAAAACAAGUGGAAAUAAAACGAGAUGUAAAUAUCCAAGAAGAAAUGCAAAAGCUAAAAACAUGGCUUCUAAACUAAGAAACUCAAACCAGAUAAAUUUCUAUCAUCCUCGAUUUUUAAAAAAGGCUUAAUUAAUGAUGGUGAAUUUGAGCAUCAUCUAGAGGGCAGCGUAAAGCAGAACUGAGAACUUCAGACUCCUUGAGCAGCCUGGACUACACAAGAACCUAUCUCAAAAAAA